rnacentral:rRNA from 1 species
AGAGUUUGAUCCUGGCUCAGGACGAACGCUGGCGGCGCGCCUAACACAUGCAAGUCGAACGAGCGAGAGAGAGCUUGCUUUCUCGAGCGAGUGGCGAACGGGUGAGUAACGCGUGAGGAACCUGCCUCAAAGAGGGGGACAACAGUUGGAAACGACUGCUAAUACCGCAUAAGCCCACGGUGCCGCAUGGCACAGGGGGAAAAGGAGCAAUCCGCUUUGAGAUGGCCUCGCGUCCGAUUAGCUAGUUGGUGAGGUAAUGGCCCACCAAGGCGACGAUCGGUAGCCGGACUGAGAGGUUGAACGGCCACAUUGGGACUGAGACACGGCCCAGACUCCUACGGGAGGCAGCAGUGGGGAAUAUUGCACAAUGGGGGAAACCCUGAUGCAGCGACGCCGCGUGGAGGAAGAAGGUCUUCGGAUUGUAAACUCCUGUUGUUGAGGAAGAUAAUGACGGUACUCAACAAGGAAGUGACGGCUAACUACGUGCCAGCAGCCGCGGUAAAACGUAGGUCACAAGCGUUGUCCGGAAUUACUGGGUGUAAAGGGAGCGCAGGCGGGAAGGCAAGUUGGAAGUGAAAUCUAUGGGCUCAACCCAUAAACUGCUUUCAAAACUGUUUUUCUUGAGUAGUGCAGAGGUAGGUGGAAUUCCCGGUGUAGCGGUGGAAUGCGUAGAUAUCGGGAGGAACACCAGUGGCGAAGGCGGCCUACUGGGCACCAACUGACGCUGAGGCUCGAAAGUGUGGGUAGCAAACAGGAUUAGAUACCCUGGUAGUCCACACCGUAAACGAUGAAUGCCCGCUGUUGGUCUGAACAGGUCAGCGGCCAAGCGAAAGCAUUAGGCAUCCCACCUGGGGAGUACGCCGGCAACGGUGAAACUCAAAGGAAUUGACGGGGGCCCGCACAAGCGGAGGAACAUGUGGUUUAAUUCGAUGAUACGCGAGGAACCUUACCCGGGCUUGAAUUGCGGAGGAAGGAUUUGGAGACAAUGACGCCCUUCGGGGUCUCUGUGAAGGUGCUGCAUGGUUGUCGUCAGCUCGUGCCGUGAGGUGUCGGCUUAAGUGCCAUAACGAGCGCAACCCCUCUCCUUAGUUGCCAUCAGGUUAAGCUGGGCACUCUGGGGACACUGCCACCGUAAGGUGUGAGGAAGGUGGGGAUGACGUCAAAUCAGCACGGCCCUUACGUCCGGGGCUACACACGUGUUACAAUGGCAGGUACAGAGAGACGGUUGUACGUAAGUACGAUCAAAUCCUUAAAGCCUGUCUCAGUUCGGACUGGGGUCUGCAACCCGACCCCACGAAGCUGGAUUCGCUAGUAAUCGCGCAUCAGCCAUGGCGCGGUGAAUACGUUCCCGGGCCUUGUACACACCGCCCGUCAAGCCAUGAAAGCCGGGGGCGCCUAAAGUCCGUGACCGUAAGGAGCGGCCUAGGGCGAAACUGGUAAUUGGGGCUAAGUCGUAACAAGGUA